CAGCCGCCGCGGGAAUACGUAGGGUGCGAGCGUUAAUCGGAAUUACUGGGCGUAAAGCGUGCGCAGGCGGUUGUGUAAGACAGGUGUGAAAUCCCCGGGCUUAACCUGGGAACUGCGCUUGUGACUGCACAGCUAGAGUAUGGCAGAGGGGGGUGGAAUUCCACGUGUAGCAGUGAAAUGCGUAGAGAUGUGGAGGAACACCGAUGGCGAAGGCAGCCCCCUGGGCCAAUACUGACGCUCAUGCACUAAAGCGUGGGGAGCAAACAGGAUUAGAUACCCCUGUAGUCCCUGUCUCUUAUAC
rnacentral:rRNA from 1 species